rnacentral:lncRNA from 1 species
AUGUGGCUAGAUGUAACGCACUAGGACAUGAUGCUGAAUCUUCUUUGUCCAUUUUAUUUCUGCCCUCACAGGUUCUAUAUCUGGCAGCUAAUAAGUGACACAAAUAACAGAAGUUCAAUCAUAUACUACGUCCCAGCUUCUUUAACGCAGUCUGUGCUAUUAACAAGGCCAUAGGGACUAGAAGAUAUUUUUUGGGAAAUUUUCUGUUUUCUCUGUUAUGUUCUCCAGAGGAUGGAAAUGGAAGAAGAAAUGACAACGUCAC